rnacentral:rRNA from 1 species
UACGUAGGGACCAAGCGUUGUUCGGAUUUACUGGGCGUAAAGGGCGCGUAGGCGGCGUGGUAAGUCAGCUGUGAAAUCUCCGAGCUUAACUCGGAACGGUCAGCUGAUACUGCUGUGCUAGAGUGCAGAAGGGGCAAUCGGAAUUCUUGGUGUAGCGGUGAAAUGCGUAGAUAUCAAGAGGAACACCUGAGGUGAAGACGGGUUGCUGGGCUGACACUGACGCUGAGGAGCGAAAGCGUGGGGAGCGAACAGG